UUUGUCAGUGACGCUCAGCUUGUGUUGGUGCGAUUGUGGUUUUAUCUGGGUGUCGUCGGAAGCCAUCGUCGUGCCUUUAUUAGGAAAGAUGAUAAGCUAUCUAAUAAUAUAUUAAUAACACAACAGGGGUCUGGUGGGCUCCAUCCCACUACACCGUCCACCCUCUGAGACUAAUAAGUUGACUGAGGCAACAACUUCCAUACUCAAAUCUGGUUUUCUUCUCUGUCCAUUACUCCAGUUCAUCCUCAGAUACCUGAAACCUCGCUGACAUGUCGGACAACGAAGAAGUAACCGAGGAGUAUGAGGAAGAGGCAGAAGAAGAGGAGGAGCCUACUGAAG